UACAGAGGGGGCAAGCGUUGUUCGGAAUUACUGGGCGUAAAGGGCGCGUAGGCGGCCUUCUAAGUCGAACGUGAAAUCCCCGGGCUCAACCCGGGAACUGCGUCCGAUACUGGAAGGCUUGAAUCCGGGAGAGGGAUGUGGAAUUCCAGGUGUAGCGGUGAAAUGCGUAGAUAUCGGGAGGAACACCAGUGGCGAAGGCGACUACCUGGCCUGUUCUUGACGCUGAGGCGCGAAAGCUAGGGAGCAAACGGG
rnacentral:rRNA from 1 species